AUACAAUCAUUUCAUGCUUUUAACAUAUAUGCUUUUUUUUUCCUAGCCUCUGAAUGGAGGCAGAAGGGUAAGAAAGAAGAGAGUAAGAAGCAGAUUUGCCAUUAUCUAUGUUGUAAUUAACUCUUGUUAUCACUGAUGUCAUGUGUAGUUUUAAAUUUUGAACGUUGACAGCUGCAUUUAAUAUUUAGCUGUUACCACUCAACUAUAAUAUUUGGAUACACUGCAUAGAUGAAGAGAAUCUUACUGAAUUUAUAAAUACAGUUUAACAUGAAAACUGAUGUUAGUAUUGGGUUAGACUCCUACAUAAGAAUAUAUUCUUACCAUUAUAAUCAUACAAUAUGUGCAUAUAUAUACAUGUGUGUGUGUGUCCAUAAAUAUAUGUCAAGGUUUCUUAAGAAAAAUUUAAAUACAUUAUAGAAAUUAUAGUACAUAAGGUCAAAAGUCAAAGCAUUUCUGCUGCUAUAUAUUAAUUUUAUGAAUGAUUAUCAGUACACUACUAUUGGGAAAUCCAAACACUUGCUACUUUUAAUAUGCUUUCUUUUCUUUAAUCUGUGGGUACCAUACUCACUUUGUUGAAGGCAUGGACCUAUUUAUUUAUAAAUGUGACCUCUCUUUAGUCAUCAGCUAAACCGAGUUUUUUUAGUGUGCUUUCUGUAUCAUUUUCUUAAAUGGAACUCCCAUUGUGUGAAAAGGAUGGUUUCAGAGGAUAGAAAUCACAAAAAUGUUAGUAACUGCCUAACCUGGUAUAACACAGUCCCAACAGACAAGCCCUUAUGGACAAAAUACAGGGCACAGAUCUGCCUGUUUGAUCAUUCUUAGACAAUGUACUUAUUCAUCACUGUGUCACCAGCACCAAGCAUAAUGCCCAAGACAACGCAAAAGAAUAUAUGGUGAGUCAGUAAAUACUUAUUUUACAUUUAGGGCAGGAAAGUAGUUUUAACUACAAAUUAUUACAAUCCUUUAUUAAAUUCAUAAAUGGUUUUAUUGGGUAAAAUUGAAAGACUGGCGUCAGCUGAACAUAGAUAUUUUUUAAAAAUUGAGUAGGAAAUUUACCUAGGCUAUGGAUUAGUGUAAAGGUAAUUAUCUAUGGCUUGCUUCUUUUGUUGAAUUUACUUAAUCCUUACUGAUUAACAGCUCAGAUAAUGAGAAGACUUGUUUAGUUGAAGGAAAAAAAAAAAAACUUGGGAAAU